rnacentral:rRNA from 1 species
AUACUUGACCCUGAGGUACGAAAGCGUGGGUAGCAAACAGGAUUAGAUAACCCUGGUAGUCCACCGCCGUAAACGAUGACAACUAGCCGUUGGGAGGAUUUACCUNUUAGUGGCGAAGCUAACGCGUUAAGUUGUCCGCCUGGGGAGUACGGCCGCAAGGCUAAAACUCAAAGGAAUUGACGGGGACCCGCACAAGCGGUGGAGCAUGUGGUUUAAUUCGAUGCAACGCGAAGAACCUUACCUGGUCUUGACAUACACGGAACUUUCCAGAGAUGGAUUGGUGCCUUCGGGAACCGUGAUACAGGUGCUGCAUGGCUGUCGUCAGCUCGUGUCGUGAGAUGUUGGGUUAAGUCCCGUAACGAGCGCAACCCUUAUCCUUAUUUGCCAGCACAUCAUGGUGGGAACUAUAAGGAGACUGCCGGUGAUAAACCGGAGGAAGGCGGGGACGACGUCAAGUCAUCAUGGCCCUUACGACCAGGGCUACACACGUGCUACAAUGGGAAGGACAAAGGGUCGCAACCUCGCGAGAGCAAGCUAAUCUCAUAAACCUUUUCGUAGUCCGGAUCGGAGUCUGCAACUCGACUCCGUGAAGUCGGAAUCGCUAGUAAUCGUGGAUCAGAAUGUCACGGUGAAUACGUUCCCGGGUCUUGCACACACUGCCCGUC